UUCGGUUGAUCCUGCCGAAGGCUACUGCUAUUGGAGUUCGAUUAAGCCAUGCGAGUCUAAGGGAUCUUCGGAUCCCUGGCGUAAUGCUCAGUAACACGUGGAUAAUCUACCCUCAGGUGGGGCAUAAACCCGGGAAACUGGGGCUAAUUCCCCAUAAAUACAGAUGGCUGGAAUGCUUCUGUAUUCAAAGCUCCGGCGCCUGAGGAUGAGUCUGCGGCCUAUCAGGUUGUAGUCAGGGUCAUGACCUGACUAGCCAGCGACGGGUACGGGCCUUGAGAGAGGUCGCCCGGAGAUGGACUCUGAGACACGAGUCCAGGCCCUACGGGGCGCAGCAGGCGCGAAAACUUCGCAAUGCAGGAAACUGUGACGAGGGAACUCCAAGUGUCCAUGCAUUGCAUGGACUGUUUGCCAGCCUAAAAAGCUGAUAGAGUAAGGGGUGGGAAAGACCGGUGCCAGCCGCCGCGGUAACACCGGCACCUCAAGUGGUAGCCACUAUUAUUGGGCCUAAAGCGUUCGUAGCCGGCUUGGUUAAUUCCUGGGUAAAUCGUACCGCUUAACGGUGCGGAUUGCGGGGACACUGCCAAGCUUGAGACCGGGGGAGAUCAGAGGAACUUGCGGGGGAGCGGUGAAAUGUUGUAAUCCCGCAGGGACCACCAAUGGCGAAGGCAUCUGAUUAUAACGGCUCUGACGGUGAGGAACGAAACCCUGGGGCGCAAACGGGAUUAGAUACCCCGGUAGUCCAGGGCGUAAACGCUGCUGACUUGGUGUUGGAGGUCCUGCGAGGGCGUCCAGUGCCGGCACGAAGGUAUUGAGUCAGCCGCCUGGGGAGUACGGUCGCAAGACUGAAACUUAAAGGAAUUGGCGGGGGAGCACUGCAACGUGUGGAGCGUGCGGUUUAAUUGGAUUCAACGCCGGAAAACUCACCGGGGGCGACGGUUACAUGAAGGCCAAGCUGAUGACUUUGCCUGAUUUUCCGAGAGGUGGUGCAUGGCCGCCGUCAGUUCGUACCGUAAGGCGUUCUGUUAAGUCAGAUAACGA
rnacentral:rRNA from 1 species